AGCAGUAGCCACGGUAAUACGGAGGGUGCAAGCGUUAAUCGGAAUUACUGGGCGUAAAGCGUGCGUAGGCGGUUCGUUAAGUCUGUUGUGAAAGCCCCGGGCUCAACCUGGGAAUGGCAAUGGAUACUGGCGAGCUAGAGUGUGUCGGAGGAUGGUGGAAUUCCCGGUGUAGCGGUGAAAUGCGUAGAGAUCGGGAGGAACAUCAGUGGCGAAGGCGGCCAUCUGGGACAACACUGACGCUGAGGCACGAAAGCGUGGGGAGCAAACAGGAUUAGAUACCCGCGUAGUCCCUGUCUCUUAUAC
rnacentral:rRNA from 1 species